AGUUCUUGCUGAAGUGAGAUGUAAAGAAUUUAAUGGGUUGUCCUAUGAUGUGCCACGCAUAGUCCACACAGCAGCAGUAGGUCAAGGCGUUGAAAAACCCAGCCGCUUGGUGCCUGGGGAGCUUUUUUCUUGGAGAGGGACUGAGAACCAGAAGCGAGGAUGCCCUAUUUCCCUGUUUCACCUCCCCAGCUGCUUUUAGGGCCGGAGGUCGGCGGAGCCAGGCCGCUGCCGCCCUCUGUUGGCCGGGGCGGGGGCACUUCUGCCGGUCUUCCGCGGCAGAACCGAGGCCGGUCGGUGGCUGUCGGGGAAGAAACACGGCCAUAAAGGGCUAAAAAAGCCCCAAAGCCGCGCUCUGAGGGCGGCGGGGGAGGCUGGAGACCCUCCGCGGGACCUGUGCGGGAGGGAGAGCGGCCGUCACAGGCAGCGGGCAGGGCGGCGGGAUAGAGGCGGGGGCGGCCGGUCUCCGUCUGUCCCCGUCCCCGUCCCACAGGUGCCGCCGAGCCGCGGGGGCCCCCGGGCGGCCUGCACGUCGCGGCCCGGCCGGCAGGAGGAAGGAAGAGGAAGUGAGAGCGGCGGCGGGGAGCCGGUGGCGCCCCGGCAUGGGAUAGCGCCGGCACAGCGCUCCGGGGACGAGGAGGAGGAGGAAGGAGAAGGGGUCUGGCUGGCCCCGCUGCCCGCCACUGGAGGGAGAGCUAACGCAACCGGCUGGCUGGCCCCCGAGCAUGGUGUGGAGCAGAUAGAGGAGCUCCCUAAAAAUUACGGAACCUCCUGCAAGAAACCAUCUUGUCACAAGGAAAGCUGGAAAACUGCUUCUGAAGGAGGAACAUUUCAAUCAACUGAAGUGAAGACAUAUGUGAAAUUAAACAAUGCAAAAUCUAAUCCUUCUGUAGACGACCAAUCUUCACAUUAG
rnacentral:lncRNA from 1 species